CCGAACCCAAACCCUCUCUCCCUCCUCCCACCGCCCUCUCUCUCCAUCUCUGCUCUCUGCCUCCCGCCGCCGCCUCCCCCCUCCUCCCCGGUCCGUCGCCCCUCCCAGCGGCCGCUCCUCCUGCUCUCCGCCACCGCCGCCCGCUCCCGCGAGAUCCGGAUCCAGCGCGGGGCGUGGCUCGGAGGGCGCAGCUGCUCCAGCGCAUAGAGCGGAGCGAUGGCCGCCGCGUGCCCAGGCCCUUGCCCAGCCACACCUUGGACGUGGAGGAGGAGGCGUGACUCGCCGAGGUCGACGGUGAGGCGGCGACGCAGGCGCGGGAGAGCGUGCUCCUUUGAAGCUACCCCACGCAAGGUGGGAGAUGGAUGGCGGCGCAAGAACAGGGGCGGGCGGUUCCAUGGCUCUGACUGGAAGAGCUUCUCCUCUUCCCCAGGCUCCAGAGGAGGCUCCCGCUCAGGAGGUGACACAGCUUCUCGCCCGGGCCGCUCGCUCACAUUUGACCAUUGUCGCGUGCAGCGCUCCUCGCGCCUCGCCAUCCGUGCCCCAUGAUGGUCUGCGCCCCUUGGUUGCCUACCACUCCAGAUCGGUUUGUCUCAUAUUCUUCAUCCCCUGAACACCAUGACAGUCACCACACCGGAGGCAAGUGGCGGAGGCAACCGAGCAGCCACCCUGCUCCAGCAGGGGAGCCAAGAGGUUGAUGUGCAACACGAUGCAAUUGCACUAUCAAGAAUAUCAUGUAUUCCGCAAAGCAAAGAGGUAAAAUGGAAGAGGUAUUUGGGAAGAACUGCAAAAACACCAUGAGGUGAAAAAACAUUUACCGACUGGCGUUUGCAAGUUGUUAGGUGAGUUAAUCAUGAAAUGUUCAUAUAAGCAGGUGGCCGCAAUUCCACCUGUCACUGUAAUUAAUUUGAACGCAUGUCAGUGUGUGCUAUUUAGUUCAAGAUCUGAUAGGUAUUGGCCUGGGUUACCAAGCUUACUGCAAGUUAGGAUAUAUGAUUCGUUGGUCUGAACUGUGGCUUGGUUGAUCUAAAUGCUGUAACAUCAAAACAUAUAGAGAUGUGUUAUCUAUCUUUGCACUAAUGAAAUCAUAUUAGAGAAGUACAAAUGAUCACCAGGCACAAGAUUAUUGACUAGGUCACUUUCAAUUACACUCUAUUUUCCCUUCCUUCAGGUUAUGCCUCCCUCCCCCCUUCCCUCUCUUUAGUGCGCAUACUUGCAGGGCCAGUGAGCUUGGUCUAUUUUUUCAUAGUUCAAUUAGUAGCUGUAGGUGGAAGUAAUUUUUUUCCUAAUGAGAAAACUGCAUGGUUGAAUGCAGAUUAAGCAGGAAAUUCAAAAUUUUAAAUUGAAGUUGAUUAAGUACCUUAAUGUUGUUCUCAUACAAGGUAAUUCAAAAUAUUGUCUUGCCUUCUUGAUAUUCCAGUUGAUAUUAGAAAGGAUGUAAUCAGAAAAGAGCCAAAUCAAAUAUUCUGGCCAUAAUCAUUCAGCAUGCCUACUUUCCUUCUAUUAGGUACGACCAUAAAUCUUUGACAGAUUAGUGUUUUUAAUCAGUGCAGUAGAUUAUUGUCCUUUUUUAAGCAUGUUGAUGUUUUUAGUCAUUAGCCCUUGAUGUUUGGAAAUUUCAGACCCACAAAAAUAUUUUUAAGCAUGUUCCUUGUCUCUUUUUUCUUGUUCAGAAUGAUAGAUUGUUCCAAACUAUGUUGCACCAGAGUUGAUAACGCUUUGCUUUUGCAAUUUACGUGUUCUUACCUAUCCGAUUUGUUAAGAGCUUGUGAUUCCUUCACUUUCUGGGAAUGCAAAUUACUACAGAGAGUUGAUGCAGCCAUAGUAUACGAUGAUUUAUUGACCUCUCAGUUGUAUGCUAACAAAUGUUUGUAGAACCUGAUAUCGGAAAAGUAUUUUCUAAGGAUCGGAAAGCAAGGCUGUUCAGGUAAAUAUUAUCUUAGGGAUUCUGGAGUAGCAAACUGAAAUUCUGCUCAGUGUGACAGUGCCACAGUUUUAACUAUCUAGACAAUAGAAAUCUGGACUCUUGCUAUUAGAUAUGGCAACUACUGCUUGACUGAACAUAAUGAUUUGUCAUGUUUGCUACCACACUAUUUUUGCAUUGAUCAUUGAUAAAAAGUAUUCAUGCUCAUGUUGAUGGAAUGUUGUUCUAUAGGAGGUUAUUCUCUGGUUUUGUAUUAAUUAAAAUGUGGUUUUGUAUGAAUUAAAAUGGCUUAGUGGGUACAUAUUUAUUUUCGGAUAAAAAGAAAGAUACGAAUAUCAGGAUCAGGGUACGGUUGGGCAUCAAUAUUAGGAUAUGGCUUGAUGUUAACUUCUAUAGAUGGUUGUUCUUUAAUUUUGUGAACUAUAUUAUAAAUUGCCUCCGAUUGUAACAAAACAGAGACCACUAAGUGGCUUCUCUCGUGUCCAUUGUAGCAUUAGUCGCUUUACUGUUUGUGACAAAGCUUCUCAAAAAAGAAUACCAUUUUUUUCGAGGAAGGAAGAAUAGCAUUUGUUUAGGUAAACUUGUAAUGUGGAGGCUUCUUUGAUUCAGGAUUGCUUAUGCAACGAUUCUUAGGUUUCUUUGCAGUUAGGUUACGUAGCCACCAUGAUUAAUCUUACAUCAAACUAUUUCAUAUCUGCCUAUUGCAUUAAUCUUCUGUACAUCCUACUUCCUGAUUUAACUAACAUUUUAUUUAAUGGCUCUUACAGAUUUGCUGUUUGUAACAAAGCUUAUCAAGGGAUGUAUAGUUUCUGCGUUUCCUCAGAAAGAAAAAUAUAUUGUAUUUUUAGAUUUUAAUUGUGAAUGAGCUUUCAUAUGUACCAAAGGGAGUACCUCGAUUCAAUUUAAAACUUGCUGGUGUAUUAUUCUUUUUGACAUGCAUGUAUUUGCUGUUUAAAUCCAGCCUUUAAUUGAUACGUG